AUUGUUUAGGGGUUAUUGUUUAUUGGUUUUGUUGGGGUAUUGGGGAUUUUUUGUUGUGUUUUCUUUUUGUAAGGUGCAUUACGGGGUCUGCGCCUUGAGGGGGGGGGGGGUACUGUCACAUCCUCACAUCCCCAUGGUUGUGGGUAAUUGUUUCUGUUCAGUGUGUUAUGCUGUCAGUACUGUUGAGCUGUCGGUAUUUUCUUGUUUUGUAGUGUUCCAGUGAUCUUUUUUUUAAUUAAAUGAUGCUGAACACUAACUCUGCUGCAUUUUGGUCCCUUUCUGAAGACAGCUGUGACACAUGCUGGUUAAAUCGUGUACGUUUUUUAUCCGGCUGUGAAAAUACUGCCCCCUAUCCAUAACAGGUUAAGGAUCGUACCCUUUUUUAAAAUGUUCACUUAAAAUGGCAUACCCAAAUCUGACUGCCUGUAGCUCAGGACCUGAAGCAAGGAUAUGCAUUUUCUUGAUACCAUUUAAAUGGAUAAACUUGGAAUUUUAUGGAAAUGUGAAAUUAAUGUAGGAUAAUAUAACACAUUAGAUCUGGUAAAAGAUAAUACAAAGAAAAAUAGAACCGUUUUUUCUUCAUCAACUUUGAAAUGCAAGAGAAGGCCAUAAUGUACUAUUCCAGAUUAGGCACAAUUUAGAUUUUGGCCACUAGAUGGCAGCAGUGUAUGUGCAAAGUUUUAGACUGAUUCAAUGAACCGUGGCAUUUCUCUUGAAAAUGUUGUAUCAAGACUGCCCAAAUGUGUCUAAUUGGUUUAUUAAUACAUUUAAGUUCAUAACUGUACACUCUCCUCGAACAAUAGCAUGUUAUUAUUUCACUGUAAUAGCUACUGUAAAUUGGACAGUGCAGUUAGAUUAACAAGAAUUUAAGCUUUCUGCCAAUAUCAGCUAUGUCUAUGUCCUUGGAAAAUGUCUUGUUACUUACAACCUCAUGCUAAUCACAUUAGCCUAGGUUAGCUCAACCGUCCCGUGGGGGGGACACCGAUCCCGUAGAGGAUGCAGUCAGUUUUAAAAUGGGUAGCCAGUAAUAAACUGUUCCUGAACAUCUCUGAAACUAAGCGCACUGUAUUUGGUAAAAAUCAUUCCCUAAGCUCUAGACCUCAGCUGAAUCUGGUAAUGAAGGAUGUGGCUUUUGAGCAAGUUGAUGAGACUAAAUUACUUGCCAUUACCUUACUGUCAUGGUCAAAACAUAUAGAUUCAAUGGUUGUAAAGACAGGGAGAGAUAUGUCCAUAAUAAAGCGAUGCUCUGCUUUUUUGACACCACACUCCAAAAAGCAAGUCCUGCAGGCUCUCGUUUUGAUUUAUCUUAAUUACUGUCCAGCCAUGUGGUCAAGUGCUACAAUGAUAGACCUAUUUAAGCCGCAGCUGGACCAGAACAGAGCACCACGUCUUGCUCCUUAUUGUAACUAAGAGUCUAUGAGGAAGUCUUGUCAACUUCCUUCCACCUUCAAUUCUCAUGUUGUUUGGAACUGGCCUUUGAGCAAGGCCCUUAACCCUAAUUGCCUCUGUAAGUCGCUCUGGAGAAGAGCAUCUGCUAAAUGACUAAAACAAUUCUUAUGAAAAACAACAAAUACUUAGAUCUGCCUCCUAAACGUACUGUAGGUCUGCCCCCUAUUCCGUAUGUAGUGCACUGAUUUGUGCAGGCCCCUUUACGGAAUAGGUUGGAGGAACAGAUGCUUCCCUGAUUCCUGAACGGAUGGAGCGUGUGACAAUAGCAUGAUUGAUUAUAGUUGGAGCACUGGAUUUUCUUGGACACUUGCUCACUUGAUAGGAUGUUAGUUAGAUGAAUAGCCACAUCACCUAACCAGCCUGCCUUGUGCGGCAGGUAGCCUAGUGGUUAGAGAGUUGGACUACUAACCGAAAGGUUGAGAGAUCAAAUCCCUGAGCUGACAAGGGUAAAAUCUGUCGUUCUGCCCCUGAUCUGGUCUACGUUUUAGGUUUACACCUGGAAAUACAGAACCAGCAACAAUGGAGACCGCUUCAUAUCUUCCUUUAGGAUGAAGAGAUCGUUCAAAGAAAAAUUACCCCACGGUGUCGAUAGAUAUAGCAAAAUACUUUUAGCUUUAAAUGAAAAUUGCAGUCAUUCAACUCAAGAGAUAUCUGUUCAAGUCCCGUGAUUUGCUGUGUGGAUACACAACACUUUCAUCUCCCACAAAAGCUGACAUGAAUGGAUAGGCUCUAUUAACUGAGAUGGCGAGGCCUUAGGCUGGACUGUAACUACUGCUAUCAAUCCAUACAGCUGCUCUAUCAAGUUCAAUGAAAGAACUGAAUUGUCUGUCCUUUCUAAAAAAUAAAACAUAAUCAAACCUACUGCGUUAUUGUUUUUCUGUAAUUAACUCGAUGUUAGACUCACAUUCAAUUUUUGAUGUUGUGAAAUUAGUGCAGAUAUUAUGAAGAAGUGUAUUGUCAUUUCUAAUGUGGUCUGUAUAGCCAUUCAUCUCUAUGAUUAUAGUUGAUGGUGUUUUAACCUGAUAGUGAUUACAGCUGAUGUUGUUUUAACCUGACUGUGAUUAUAGUUGAUGGUGAUGUAACCUGACUGUGAUUAUAGUUGAUGGUGAUGUAACCUGACUGUGAUUAUAGUUGAUGGUGUUUUAACCUGACUGUGAUUAUAGUUGAUGGUGUUUUAACCUGACUGUGAUUUUAGUUGAUGGUGUUUUAACCUGACUGUGAUUACAGCUGAUGGUGUUGCAGCCUGACUGUGAUUAUAGUUGAUGGUGUUUUAACCUGACUGUGAUUAUAGUUGAUGGUGAUGUAACCUGACUGUGAUUACAGCUGAUGGUAUUGCAGCCUGACUGUGACCUAUAGUUGAUGGUGUUUUAAAACCUCUUUGGGAAAUGUGGGACGCUAGUGAAAUAGCAGAGCCAGUGAAAUAGCAGAGCGCCAAAUUCAAAACAACAAAAAUCUCAUAAUUCACAUUUCUCACACAUACAAGUAUUAUACACCAUUUUAAAGACAGACUUCUCGUUAAUCCAACCACAGUGUCCGAUUUCAAAAAGGCUUUACGGCGAAAGCAUAACAUUAGAUUAUGUUAGGACAGCACCUAGACAAGAAAAACCACACAGCCAUUUUCCAAGCAAGGAGAGGCGUCACAAAAAACAGAAAUACAGCUAAAAUGAAUCACUAACAUUUGAUGAUCUUCAUCAGAUGGCACUCAUAGGACUUCAUGUUACACAAUACAUGUAGGUUUUGCUCGAUAAAAUUCAUAUUUAUAUCCAAAACCCCCAUUUUACAUUGGCGUAUAAUGUUCAGAAAUGUUUUGCUUCCAAAACUACCGGUGAAUGAGCACAUCAAUUUACAGAAAUACUCAUCAUAAACUUUGAUAAAAGAUACAAGUGUUAUGCACAGAAUUAUAGAUAAACUACUUCUUAAUCCAACCGCUGUGUCAGAUUUCAAAAAAGCUUUACGGCGAAAGCACACUUUGCAAUAAUCUGAGUACAGUGCUCAGUCACCAAAACAAGCCAUACAGAUACCCGACAUGUUGUGGAGUCAAAAAAAGUCAGAAAUAGCAUUAUAAAUAUUCACUUACCUUUGAUGAUCUUCAUCGGAAUGCACUCCCAGGAAUCCCAGUUCCACAAUAAAUGUUUGUUUUGUUCGAUAAAGUUCAUCUUUAUGUCCAAAUACCUCCAUUUUGUUUGCGAGUUUAGUCCAGCAUUCCACAUUCACUAAGUGUGUGAGUUUAGUCCAGACGAAAAUUCAAAAUAGUUACAUUACAGUGCGUAGAAACAUGUCAAACGAUAUAUAGAAUCAAUCUUUAGGAUGUUUUUAUCAUAAAUAUUCAAUAAUAUUCCAACCGGACAAUUCCUUAGUCUUUACAAUUGAAAGGAAAGACAGCACGCUCCCACAACUUUAAUUGCAGUAGGUACCUUUUACAACUUGAGAUGCAGUAGGUACCUUUUACAACUUGAGAUGCAGUAGGUACCUUUUACAACUUGUGAUGCAGUAGGUACCUUUUACAACUUUAAUUGCAGUAGGUACCUUUUACAACUUGAGAUGCAGUAGGUUCCGUGUGCUCCCUCUCAGGCCUCUAGGUCACGAGGCUCUCGUUAUGACGCACACCUGUCACCAGCGUUACAUGCAUAAUGACACUCACCUGGACUCUAUCACCUCCUUGAUUACCUGCCCUUUAUAUGUCACUCCCUUUGGUUGUGACAUGUAACAAGUUGUCAUUGUUCCUGUUUCAUGUCGGUGGGCUGUUCGUGUUUCUUGUUUUUGUUCAUUUAUUAAUUAAAUGUAUUCACUCCCUGAACUUGCUUCCUGACUCUCAGUGUACAUGGUUACAGUAGGUUUGCACUAGAUACCUUGUAUUACUUGUAUGUGCAGGAGAGCUGUGAGAGAACAUAUUUCCAGAAUUGAAAAAAAUACAUAAAAAAAAAUGAAUUACAACUGUUGUUGAGUGAAUGUGUGGUCGUACCCUUUGGUAUAAUUUAUUAAAAAGGUGCAGUGCCAUUCUCAUUGAUGUAUAACAAAGGGAUGGUAAUGUCAUUUUCAUUUCACUGGUGCUGUGUUUGAAUAUGAAUUCAUUAACGCUCUGUUAGUGGAGAAAAUGAAUGGCUAUAGUACCACUGAAGCUUUAUAAUGAACAAUCCCUAAAACUUGGCCUGCUGUCCAUCAUCUUUAACAGAAUACAUGUUACUGCCAUGUGUGGAAUUUCACAAAUUCUUCUAUCUCAGUGAAAUGUCCCCCAAUAAAAUGCGUAUGACGCUACCAUAACUUAUAUUGAUUGGUCUAAAUGUUAAUGUCUUUAGAGCCGAGAAAUCGGAUAUUUCAGCAUUAAACCAGCGAUAAAGCAUUUAACAUUAUAAUGAUAUUUACCAACAGCUGUUAUUCAAAUGUUCCCCUGGGGGCAACCAUUCUACCGUAUUUUACCCCAGUUGUUGUCUUUAUUGAUUUACUCAACAACAAAAAUCGACAAAAAUUUUAUUCAGUAGAGAUGUUCCUUGAUGAUAUUUUCAUCUUUAAAGGGCAAACAAAGCCAACGUUGCCCCAUUAGAUGCAUUAUAUUACAUACAUAGGAACAAUGCCCAUCUAAAACCCUUUGCUACUAAAAAUUCCCCUCGUUAACAGAUUCAUUUAUAAGAAUCUAAUAAUCCAAAUUUAGCACACAAAAACAUUCCCCAACUACACUUAGGUCAUAUAGUUGUGAAACAUAACUGUAAGCCGAUGGUGCCUAACCAUUGAUGAAGAAUUAUGGGUUUAUUCUUAUUGGUUAUAACAUGAAAGCCUUGAUAACUUCUUUCCUAAAAAGCACCAGUGUUUCAUCAAAGAGGGACGUAUUUAUGUACGUUAGCUUUGCAUGGUGCUAUGUUAGCGGCUGUUCCCAUAAUUGUUUCAUUAAAACCAGUUGCUUUGUGUUUCCUAGAGUAAUUAAGCAGUUGGAAUUUUACAUUACACUAGUGAAAAUUAACAAAGAGCACAUCUGGGUGUCCCAUAGGUUUAGUCAUUAAAAAGACCAUUAUUUUUCAAAUUACUUUCUCAAUCUUUCUGCCCCACUAAUCCUAAGGUAUUUCCCCAUGGAUACUUGCUGUUCCUGUUUUUUGAAUGACUCCUUUAGGGAAGUUAACAUUUAGAGACCGUAUGGCCUAUUCUGGCUGCUCCUCUGUGCAGUGAACCCUAUUUUCACUGGCAGCCAUGAUGGUUAGGGAACUGACAAUCGCCAGGCUUGCAGGUGUCAGUUCCAAAUCAUUUGGGGCCCAUUUAAAGUGGGCUACUCAGUCCUUGCCAUUAUCUAUCUCUGUCUGGUGUAGUUAAUUACAUCUCAUUCAUUCUGACUUCAGAAGUUUAAUGCAAGUAUUUGUAACCACUUAUUUGUAAUAUCUUAUGGCUGAAAAUCUGCUUCAGGGAUUCACCUGCUGUCAAUACAUUGGAAGUUUUCUGUCAGUUCUGACGCUGUAACGCCUGCUUGUGUAUUCCUAUAGAGUCGAAGCCUUACACACUAAAAAAUGUGGGUUCCUCAAGGGCUCUUUGGGAAGAGAGAUGUUUUUUUUUAUGUGGAACCAUACUGACCAAAAAACCCUUUGAGCCCUCCAAUGUUUUUGUGCAGUUCAAAAAAAGGGUUCUUUCCACUUUUAGUGAUAAUGAAAAUGUAGAGACGGUGGAUCGUUAGAAUUUAUUCUGGGGGCGUGGUUUGCUCACAGCUCUUUUUGUGCAACCGUGAGUGAAAGUGUCAUUCCAGUUUAUCUAAUCUGUUGUGUUAUGCAGUUAAAUGUUAUAUAAGACUAUAGCCAGUGAUGGUGUCUUGUGGAAGACUCACCUUGUGUCAAUUGAGAACGCUUGAGUAAGUCAGUAGUUCUCAAUUCUCUCCUCAGGGACCCCCAGCCAUUCCAGGCCUAGCACACCUGAUUCAACUAGUUAAUAAACACAAUAAUAAAACCUAUGGAAUUUUAACAAUAUAUUAUGGCUAUUAAACCAGAAUACAUUUUAAAAAACUUGAUGGUUCUACAAACAAACUUUUAGUAUUUAUGCUGCAGUAGUUUAUGUGUCGGGGGGCUAGGGUCAGUCUGUUACAUCUGGAGUAUUUCUCUUGUCUUAUCCGGUGUCCUGUGUGAAUUUAAAUAUGCUCUCUCUAAUUCUCUCUUUCUCUCUUUCUUUCUUUCACUCGGAGGACCUGAACCCUAGGACCAUGCCUCAGGACUACCUGGCAUGAUGACUCCUUGCUGUCCCCAGUCCACCUGGCCGUGCUGCUGCUCCAGUUUCAACUGUUCUGCCUGUGGCUAUGGAACCCUGACCUGUUCACCGGAUGUGCUUGUUGCACCCUCGACAACUACUAUGAUUAUUAUUAUUUGACCAUGCUGGUCAUUUAUGAACAUUUUAACAUCUUGACCAUGUUCUGUUAUAAUAUCCACCCGGCACAGCCAGAAGAGGACUGGCCACCCCUCAUAGCCUGGUUCCUCUCUAGGUUUCUUCCUAGGUUUUGGCCUUUCUAGGGAGUUUUUCCUAGGGAGUUUUUCCUAGCCACCGUGCUUCUUUCACAUGCAUUGCUUGCUGUUUGGGGUUUUAGGCUGGGUUUCUGUACAGCACUUUGAGAUAUCAGCUGAUGUACGAAGGGCUAUAUAAAUACAUUUUAUUUUAUUUGAUUGAGAAAGGUUCUUUAUAGAACCAUUCUCCGUACAGGUUCAAUUAAGAACCAUGAAAAAUUAUUCUAUUUAGCCCCCAAAAAGUCUGUAACCAUAGCGGAACCUUUUUUUUGGUGCUGUAUAGAACUUUUUAUUAACGGUUCUUUAUAGAACCUUAGGAAAGUGUUCUUUAUAGCAUUGUGCAGGUUCCAUUUAGAACCUUAUGAGAAUGUUUUUUUUUUUAAAGUUCAGUGAAAAAAGGGUUCCGCUAUGGUUACAAGCCAACAAAGCCUUAUUUGGCACUACAUAAAACAAUUUGCUUUUAGUGUGUUGACCGCUGGGGUUCAUGACCAUAUGACACUUGUGGAGACAGUGAGUACCCGGCGUUGAGGGAUAUAACAAGACAUUCAUGAAUAAUAACAUGAAUGCAUACCUGACUGAGUAUCUACAAGGUCUAUGCUAUCAAUACAAGAGUAGCCCGUUGCUGCUGUGUGGAAAAGCACUUGUUUUCCGUCUGUGCCUCUGAGACGGAAAUUCUUAUGAACACAACAGUUGCUGAUGAAAUUACUUUUUAAAGCUGCUUUCAUUCAUACACACACACACACACACACACACACACACACACACACACACACACACACACACACACACACACACACACACACACACACACACACACACACACACA
rnacentral:lncRNA from 1 species